AGUGAACGCUGGCGGUAGGCCUAACACAUGCAAGUCGAACGGCAGCACAGUAAGAGCUUGCUCUUACGGGUGGCGAGUGGCGGACGGGUGAGGAAUACAUCGGAAUCUACUUUUUCGUGGGGGAUAACGUAGGGAAACUUACGCUAAUACCGCAUACGACCUACGGGUGAAAGCAGGGGAUCUUCGGACCUUGCGCGAUUGAAUGAGCCGAUGUCGGAUUAGCUAGUUGGCGGGGUAAAGGCCCACCAAGGCGACGAUCCGUAGCUGGUCUGAGAGGAUGGUCAGCCACACUGGAACUGAGACACGGUCCAGACGCCUACGGGAGGCAGCAGUGGGGAAUAUUGGACAAUGGGCGCAAGCCUGAUCCAGCCAUACCGCGUGGGUGAAGAAGGCCUUCGGGUUGUAAAGCCCUUUUGUUGGGAAAGAAAAGCAGCAGGUUAAUACCCCGCUGUUCUGACGGUACCCAAAGAAUAAGCACCGGCUAACUUCGUG
rnacentral:rRNA from 1 species